rnacentral:RNase_P_RNA from 1 species
GUGUGAGCGGUAAGGGUGAAAUGGUGGGGUAAGAGCCCACCGGCGGCCGGGUGACCGGCCGGCCAGGCAAACCCCGCCCGGAGCAAGACCAAAUAGGGGGACGUCGCCGUCAUGCGGUGGAGGGGCUGCUCGUCCCGAGUCCCCGGGUGGUGGUCGCUUGAGGCGCCGGGCAACCGGCGUCCCAGAGAGAUGAUCGCCGGCCCCCGAUGGGGUGCACAGAACCCGGCUUACAGCCCGCUCUCGGUC